rnacentral:lncRNA from 10 species
GGCGGCGACGAGCGGGCGGCGGAGCCGGGGCGCUGGGCCCGGGGGCCGGGACGCCCGGAGCGGCGCGGGGCGCGUCGCCAUCUCAUGGUGCGAGCGCGCACACACAGUGUGCACUUCAGAUGUGACGCCUCCUCUACUCCAUGCUCCUUUGAUCCUUCGGUCUUCAUGACCCCCGCCUUUUCUUUUACUGAAAUUCCUGCUUCACCAUGACUUUAUGACAUGUGUGGUACUGCUGAUAGGAGCAUAGUUUGAAUAAAAUAUUUGCUGAACGAGGCCAUUUUGUACAAAGUUUAUGGCACUUUGUCAACUAAUGGGUUUUGCAAAAAAUAAAAAUAAAAAGUGAAAUGAAAGAAGCUUCUAUGGCUAUUGGAAC